rnacentral:rRNA from 1 species
AACGCGAAGAACCUUACCUGGUCUUGACAUCCUGGGAACCCUGCAGAAAUGCGGGGGUGCCGCAAGGAACCCAGAGACAGGUGCUGCAUGGCUGUCGUCAGCUCGUGUCGUGAGAUGUUGGGUUAAGUCCCGCAACGAGCGCAACCCUUGUCCUUAGUUGCCAUCAUUAAGUUGGGCACUCUAAGGAGACCGCCGGUGACAAACCGGAGGAAGGUGGGGAUGACGUCAAGUCAUCAUGGCCUUUAUGACCAGGGCUACACACGUGUUACAAUGCGCGCUACAGAGCGUUGCAAACCCGCGAGGGGGAGCUAAUCGCAAAAAAGCGCGCUCAGUUCGGAUUGCAGUCUGCAACUCGACUGCAUGAAGCCGGAAUCGCUAGUAAUGGCGCAUCAGAACGGCGCCGUGAAUACGUUCCCGGGCCUUGUACACACCGACUGUAC